GAAAUUACGGGCCACCUUUGUCAGGUGAUUGUGAUGAGUUUAAUGGGAUUUACUUUCACACAGUAGGAAUAAACCUUGUAUUUGUAACAUUACACAUAGGUGACACCGAUCUAAAUGAUCUUGAACUGUUACUAAAAAGCUUCUUUGUCCUCCGGCGGCUUUGUAUGUUAAUGAUCAUCUGAUCUGCAACUUUUAUUAGCACCGAGUGUUUGUUACUAGUGCUGAUUUGGCUAGCCGUCCCCAUAGCAUGUUGGCAGUGUGACUGUUCAUCGGGGAUAGGUGGAAGUCAAAGUUGUGCUGGAAGUUUAUUCUUUUUUAUCCAUGAAAACAGUCAGCAGCAAGUACUGUCAUCGGGAGUGGAGUUAAUUUACUUGGUACUGGAUAAGAUGACCAAGUCCAAGGAACGUGACCAGCAACAGCUCCAAGCAGAGAUGGCUGGACUUCAGAGGGAAGCGACAGUCAAUUCACCCGUUUCAGCCCGGCGACAAAUCUGUGGCACACUAAUGUCAUUUUAGUUUAGGAGGAACACAUUUUCUAUCAGUGACUGGUUGUACUCAUAGACUGUAUAUAAAGAGGUUGUACUGCCGCCUCCUGACUCGUCAAACUGUGCCCUGGGAAGACUUUAUUUGCUGUCUGCAUUUUGAAUGGACUGUUACCUGUAAAUUGUUGACAUGGCAACGGCUCAACUUACCGACUUGGACACGUGGUCAAGAAGAUGCCCUCCUAAAGGUAAGGCUGCACCACAAGAUUUAUUCGACGCCACUGAGGUCUUAAACGUUUCUCCCUGAAGAUGAAUGUGAGGUUAUUGAGCAGCCCACAAUGUUUCAACAGUAUCCCCCAUGAGUGCAUGGCAGAGGGUGAGCUGAAGUGCAAUAACCUUACUUCGGGUCGGCUGAUUUCACAUGAAGCAGUCGUUCAUCACUUCAGUUCUGGAGUCGCCCUCUGAGGCAGCAGUGGUAUCUGUCGUGGUAACCAAUCUGGACAGCGCUAAUGUAGACGUGCUGUGUGAUGUGGAGGCCUAUACUAUAUGUAUUGCCUGCCUGAGCUCAACCCCUGCAGCGCGCCGCCACACCAAAGUCCAUGUCCCAAAGUUACAGAGCUCCUGCAGCGAUUCUGGCACGGCUUCAGAGUAUGACAGCCGAUGGUGAGGGAGCUUCAACUGGAGGAUGUGUCCAGAGGUCCAUCCUGCCAUGCUGGGUCCCAGGUGUGUAUCCUUUCAUGGACAUAAUGUGCUCUUUUUUCUAUUUCUCCUCUGUGCAUCCUGGGUGAAUUAGCAUUUGAUGCAAGUGAAGCACCAACUGGGGACUGUAGUAAAGUAAACUGAGAAGGUUAAUGGAGAAAUGUCAACCAUAGGUGACUAGAGAUACUAGGGGAAAGCAGAGCUUUUUAUGCUUAACUGUGCAAAGACGCUAUUACUGUAGACUCAUUCUCAUGUGCUAUCAGCUAGCACUAGUUAAACUGUUACCACUAAACUUACUAGUAGUGUGAACAGUGACUGACUGGCAGGUAUCAGCAGAAUACCUUAUUUAAUCUGCUUACUGAUUGAUGACAUUUAAUUUCAGUUCUGUGUGUUUCAUGUUAAUAGUGCCUAUGGCAAAAAGGCUGUCUGGAGUGUAGCAGCCAUAAAAAAGCAAUGAUUAGUGAAGACGCAAACCCCUUUGAGGAAGACAAUUUGACUAAGGAUCUGUGGUUAAUAUGCAGUGACUGAACAAAUAUAUUUUAGCAGUACAAUCUUCCAUAGCAAAGGCAGGUGGUGUGUAAACCAGAUAAAUGACUCAACAGACAUCCAAUUUCAAUGGUUUAUGCCAGAGUAGUAAAAACGACAACUGCUAGGCUCCUGUUUGCUGCCGUUAUAAUAUUUAAAUUAUACUUGUGUGACUUAUAAAGCCAUGUUCUCCUGUGCCCCUGCGCUGAAUGCCAACUGAGAAAAUUGGGAUUGCUCUUUCAAUAUUUCCAAUCUUUGUUGAGUAACUGAAAAUAUUGGGAUUUGUGAUUACAGUCAUUGUUGUAAUAUUGAUUCAUGUGUGGGCAGUAGCAGCAAUUUCACUCAUGUGGAACCAUGGUUUGAAAUACAGUUCUCAACAAAGGGCAAACAGUUACUGACAAAGCAAUUUUCCACUCAAGGUCCCCGUAAUACAUUAAGUAAGGUUUAACUUAACCCCAUAGAUCAUGGUAUGAAAAUCUAACUAUAUUUCACUGGCUGGAUGCCUCCCACAUGACAAGACUGUAAUUACAAUGGCAUAUAAAUAAAAAGCCUCUUCAAUACAGUAUGCAUAGUCUAGUAAGAAACUUAUUAUAGGGAGAGCAAAAAACACCUGAGAACCAAUUACCCUUUGCUUAAUCACUACGCUUUGUUUAAGAGUUGUCAGGAACAAGAAAUGAUAACUGUUCUUUUUGAAGUGUAUUUAGUGGACCUGGAGGUCAGACACAUUGCAGUCAGUAGGUAUCAUGACAGUUUUGUUUUGGCUCUGUACUUGUGCACAUUGGAUUUUAAAUUACACAGUAACUUAUAGGGGUAAAGUGCUGACUUUCUACUUAAAUUUAAAGCUUCUCUAAUCCAUAUUUUAUAUACUAACCAUGAAUGAAACCACAGUCAUGUCAUUCAUAGUCACAAACUCACACAGCUCUGCAGUUCCCCUCAGCUCUAAGGAGAUUUUUAGCUUCCUUUUAGACAUUGGCCACAAAGGAAAAAAGACUACAAAUCCCAUACUAUUCACCCAAUUUGAAUGUGAACCCUAAAAACCCUGAAACUUGAAAGUCAUUGCUUACAA